AUGCACACAGAGGGAAAUACCGAUGAUUGGUGGAGUGUGUAUGGCAGGAAACUUGCUUCUGAAGUCCAGCGAGGCACCAGAAGAUCAUCUUGGGGCUCCAGCUUUUGGAGAUCUGGGUAUCAUAGAGUUGGAAGAGACCUCGUGGUACAUCCAGUCCAACCCACUGCCAAGAAGAAGGAAAAUUGCAUUCAAAGCACCCCCGACAGAUGGCCAUCCAGCCUCUGCUUAAAAGCCUCCAGGGAAGGAGCCUCCACCACACUCCGUGGCAAGGAGUUCCACUGCUGAACAGCUCUCACAGUUAGGAAGUUCUUCCUAAUGUUCAGGUGGAAUCUCCUUUCAUGUAGUUUGAAGCCAUUGUUCUACAUCCUAGUCUCCAGGGCAGAAGAAAACAAGCUUGCUCUCUCCUCCCUAUGACUUCCCCUCACAUAUUUAUACAUAUAUAAAUGUAUUACAUGUGCAUUGCACAUGCAGUUAUGGAUAAUUACUUGUGAACUUACACUGUAAACCAAAUAUUUUUCAUGUAACGUUUUUACUUAAUCCUCCCAAGUUAGGGAAGAGGAUGAGUCCCUUCAGGAAGAUAGGAUAGUAUAUAAAUAAAGCUUUAUUAUUAUAUAUUAUGAACUGCUGGUUUUUUCCCCUGGAAGUUUCCAAGAAUAUCAAUUGAAUUCAUAUUUAAAAGAUUACAGUUUCCACUGUGCCUCACAGUUUAACAUUUUAAAAAAAUCAACCCUGGAAACUACCUGUAGUUUUCAGUUUUCUAGUUUUGGUGUAUGUGAGUGUGUGGCAUUUUUGGAUCCAAAUAGCGCUAGGGCAGAAAAUUUUCCAAAGCUCGCCUGAGUUGCCCUGUUUGAAAUAAAUGGUUUGUGGAUAAGUCAGCGAAAGAGUUCAGUAGUAUUAUAAAGAAGUGUUUGUGUAUGUGUGUGUUUUCUGUGUGUGUUAAGGGAGGCCGUAUGGCUUGUGCAGCAUGAGUUGUAACGAUCUUAUGACUGUGUAGUGCAGAAAUGAUUGGGAAAAUGAUGUGGACACGAUCUUAUGAUUAAUCAGAGUGAAAAGGGAAUUUGGGGAAAUAUGUUCAUUUUAGAAGUAAUUUCGAGCAUAUUAAUUGAUUUGUCUAUGCUAAAUGGGUGUUUUGUUAGAUCUGAAAACUGUGUUUGCAAAGGAAUGUGUUUGUUUUAGAAAUUGGACCUCACCAUUGUAUUCAAGUUUUUGGACAUGUUACCCAUCUUAUCAGUCAUUCACAUUUCUGAAAAAUGGGUAUAUUUUCCUAGUAAUUAAGUUUGCAAUUAAUCUCACCCCAUGGCAGCCAUUUUGUGACAUAUCACCUACAACAGCCAUUUUGAUAUAAUGCUCAGAACACAUUUCAGAAACUAAAAUGUGUCCAUGGAUACAAAAAGGUUAGGGAUUUGGUAGCAAAAUGAAGGAGAUUUUGGUUCACCAUAUCUUUACAGCUAUCAGGCAAUUGAGAUGUGUUUGUCCUUACAAAGCAGAGUAAUGCUAUAUCUCUCCUCAUUUCCCCUGAUUUCUAGUCAGAUAUUUUUAGGGCCACGGGACAAGAUUAAGGACCUCAUCACACAGAGUGUUUUCCCUAAUGUAGGACACUUUGAGUUCAUUUCAAGGACGAAGUGGCACGAGCCCAUCAGAUGAUGUUUGUCUACUUCUGGCCAUCAUCUGUUGCCUUUUGUCCUUGAAAUGGAGCUGAAAGGAGGGAGUUCAGAACAAGGCAAGAAUUCGUGUUCUGAGAUGCUAGUGUGCGCCAGAACCAUCGCUAAAACCGAAAAACAUGUGAUGGUAUCUGACAGAUUUGCCCCUGUUGAAUUGUUUCCGUGACAUAGAGGAAUGGGCAUUCCUCACCAUUUUACUGUCACUGCAUUUUCUACUUAAUAGUAAUUAGGCUUGAAAUUGUGCUCUUGCUAGCUUUUUAACAUAACACUGGUCUAACUGAGGGAAGGAAAGCCUAGCAGGAGGGGAUCGGGGCAAAGGGGUUUAUAAUUACACUGGUGUAAUGAAAGGAAGCAAUGCCUUGCAAGAAAGGGAGCAUGGCAAAGGGAUUUAUAAUUACAUUGGAAUAAUGAAGGGAAAC
rnacentral:lncRNA from 1 species